UACGUAGGGUGCAGGCGUUAAUCGGAAUUACUGGGCGUAAAGCGUGCGUAGGCGGUUUGUUAAGACAGGUGUGAAAUCCCCGGGCUUAACCUGGGAACUGCGCUUGUUACUGGCAGACUUGAGUGUGGCAGAGGGGGGUGGAAUUCCACGUGUAGCAGUGAAAUGCGUAGAGAUGUGGAGGAACACCGAUGGCGAAGGCAGCCCCCUGGGCUAACACUGACGCUGAUGCACGAAAGCGUGGGGAGCAAACAGG
rnacentral:rRNA from 1 species